rnacentral:rRNA from 1 species
UGGGGAAUUUUGGACAAUGGGGGAAACCCUGAUCCAGCCAUCCCGCGUGUGCGAUGAAGGCCUUCGGGUUGUAAAGCACUUUUGGCAGGAAAGAAACGUCAUGGGUUAAUACCCCGUGAAACUGACGGUACCUGCAGAAUAAGCACCGGCUAACUACGUGCCAGCAGCCGCGGUAAUACGUAGGGUGCAAGCGUUAAUCGGAAUUACUGGGCGUAAAGCGUGCGCAGGCGGUUCGGAAAGAAAGAUGUGAAAUCCCAGAGCUCAACUUUGGAACUGCAUUUUUAACUGCCGUGCUAGAGUGUGGCAGAGGGAGGUGGAAUUCCGCGUGUAGCAGUGAAAUGCGUAGAUAGGCGGAGGAACACCGAUGGCGAAGGCAGCCUCCUGGGAUAACACUGACGCUCAUGCACGAAAGCGUGGGGAGCAAACAGG